UACGUAGGGGGCAAGCGUUGUCCGGAAUUAUUGGGCGUAAAGAGCGCGUAGGCGGUCCGAUAAGUCGGCUGUGAAAGUCCAGGGCUCAACCCUGGAAAGCCGGCCGAUACUGUCGGACUAGAGUCCGGAAGAGGCAAGUGGAAUUCCCGGUGUAGCGGUGAAAUGCGCAGAUAUCAGGAAGAACACCUAUGGCGAAGGCAGCUCUCUGGGACGGUACUGACGCUGAGACGCGAAAGCGUGGGGAGCGAACAGG
rnacentral:rRNA from 1 species